AUAACGUUUGGGCCAUCGGUCUACCGAGCAAUAUCGUCCGCUCGGUGGAAGAUCUUCCCUUUGGUGU
rnacentral:pre_miRNA from 1 species